AACUUUUUCCAAAACAAAUGGGGCAUCAUAAUCAAUGCACCAUUACAGGGAAAAGCUUUAAAAAUGAAUGUGGUGUAGAUAUCGAUAAGAUAGAAAAAUACUACUUAGUCAUAGUUUAGUAAAUCAUCAUGCUUUUCGUGACGGCGCUCGUAUUUCUACUUGUCUUUGGAAAUGUAACUUGCGACACUAAAAUAAUCGGCGGAUCUGAGGUGAAAAAUCGAUCAGAAUUUGCUUAUCAGGCUUUGCUGCUCUACAAAGACGCACCUUAUUGUGCUGGAACAAUAAUCGACGAGAAACACGUUUUAACAGCUGCUCAUUGCUGUAAUCCUGAGAAGAACCUAAUAGUUGAACCAUCAGAUGUGACAGUUGUUGUAGGAAAUUUGGAUUUGUAUGACAAAUCUUGCGUCAAAAAAGUCCAACACAUUUUCAUUCAUCAAGAGUUUGAUUUAGCGUCAAUAACGAACGACAUCGCUGUGAUACGACUUGUAGAUAAUCUUGAAUUUUCGGAAGAUAUCCAAGCUAUUAACUUAACAACAGAUUACCUGAGUUCCGGUAAUUGUAACGUAUCGGGAUGGGGAACCACAUAUAUCGGGGCGAAUUCUAUGAACUCGAAGUUACUUUACGCCAAUGUGCCUAUAGUUGAGUGGAACUCAUGCCAACGAAUCCUUAAAUUAUUUCAAGUCGAGUUAGGAAAAAACGAAAUUUGUGCAGGGGGAAAUACAAAGGAUGCAUGCCAAGGCGACUCGGGAGGACCUCUAGUGUGUUCAGGUCAAUUGACUGGCAUUGUUUCGUAUGGCAUAUCUUGCGGGAUUGAAUUCAUCCCUGGAGUUUACACAGAAGUUGCCAAAUACACCAAGUGGAUCCAGGAACAAAAAACCAGAUCCUCAAGCCCAAAAAUUGAACUAACUUUUUGUCUGUUUGUGAUGUUAUUUGUUAAUUUGUGGCAAUAAAGUGUCGAUAAAUUUUUUGUUAUUGCAGUAACUCAUGUAGUCAUUGAAACAGUGCAAUUUAGUUUUUAACGAUUUAUUGAUUUAUUGAUUAUAAAGAAGCGAACUGAUAAGAUUUUUGGAUCUAUAUUAACUCACAAACGAGUCAAUACAGCCAAAUCAUAAUGUUGCUCCUAACGCUUCUAUUUUGUAGUGUUUUUUCCUUGAGCACGCAAAAAGAUGUUAAAAUUGUUGGAGGGACUGAAGUCAAAGACAGGUCUAAAUUUGCUUAUCAGGCACUUCUUCUGUAUAAUGGUAGUCCAUACUGUGGUGGGACCAUAAUUGACAAGAAAUACAUUUUAACAGCGGGGCAUUGUUGUUAUUCCAGGGACCAACAAAUGUUACCUUCUGCCCUUUCGGUGGUUGUUGGUAAUUUGAACUUAACCGAUCGAGAAAUCGUCAAAAGUGUGAAAGCGAUUUACGUUCACGAAGAAUUCGAUAUGGACACUCUCGAUAAUGAUUUGGCCAUAUUUGAGCUGACCGAGCCUUUUGAAAAUUGGACAAGCACUGUAUCACCAAUUAAAUUAAAUAAAGAACAUGUGACGAGUGGUAACUGUAUUGCAUCAGGCUGGGGAACCACAUUUUCUGGUUCUAAUAAAAUGAGCUCCAAGCUGCUAUAUGUGAGUGUUCCUAUAAUUGACUGGACGGCGUGUUAUGAAUUUUACGGUGCUUAUAACGUGGAAGUGAAUAAUAAGUCGAUUUGUGCUGGGGCUCUUGCUAAGGACUCUUGCCAGGGCGAUUCCGGGGGCCCUUUUGUCUGCGAAAGCAAACUAACGGGCGUGGUUUCGUAUGGCAUAGGGUGCGGUUUUGAGAAUUUGCCCGGAGUUUACGUCGAAGUGGCGAAAUAUUCCAGUUGGCUGGAAAAUUACACAACACCGUCAUCUUCGUCUUCAUUCAGUUUAGCGACUUCUUGUCUUGUGAUAUUUGUUGUAACAAUAAUUUUGUAAAUACAGUUUUUUUAUGUUUUA